rnacentral:rRNA from 1 species
UGUCUAAGUCCAAGCUGUGUUUACAUGGCGAGACCGCGGACGGCUCAUUAAAUCAGUCGUGGUCCAUAUGGGCUUGAGUUAACUUUACUUGGAUAACUGUGGUAAUUCCAGAGCUAAUACAUGCAACUCCUAUCCUGACGUGUGCUUGUCGCACAGACGGAUGCUUUUAUUAGACCAAACCGCUAGGUGCGUCUGCCGUGUCUCUUUCAUCGCAUAUUUUUGUGGUGUUGGUGCAUGCGGUGGCGCAUUGCUCGUUCGAUGGUGACUCUGGAUAACCUUUGUUUUGACAAGCGAACGUACCCCUUUGUUGGGACGUCGCUGCCACUUUCGAGUGUCUGACUUAUCAGCUAUCAACCGUUCGUUAUGUGCGACCGAUGGCUUUGACGGGUAACGGGGAAUCAGUGUUCGAUUCCGGAGAGGCAGCCUGAGAAACGGCUACCACGUCCAAGGACGGCAGCAGGCACGCAAAUUACCCAAUCCCAGCUCCUGGGGGAGGUAGUGACGAAAUAUAACGAUGCGGGCGCCCUUUCUGGGGCCCCGCAAUCGGAAUGGGCACUUUCUAAACAACCUGUUGAGAACCUACUGAAGGGCAAGUCUGGUGCCAGCAGCCGCGGUAAUUCCAGCUUCAGCAGCAUCUAUUAAAGUUGCUGCGCUUAAAGGCUCGCAGUUGAAUGUCAGUAUUGAGCGCAGUUCUCGUGGACGCUGGGGCGUG